CAUAAACAGUUUGUCGAACUCACUUCUUAUUUCUUCUGAUUUUUUUUUUUUUUUUUUGUUAUUUUUAAAAGAAAACUGAUAUCUUCAUCCUGAAAUAGAACUUAGCUUUCAUAGAUUUUUGAGGACAAAGGAGCUGGGGUAAGGGAUGAAUGAGUGAAAAAUGGAGUCAUUCUUUUGUACUGGAAAGAUGUAUUUUCAAAAGCACUCAACUAAGCAUGGGAGGCCCCCGUCCUGCUUCUCACUGUAAUGACCCAGAGACCUUUCAGAAUCAACAGUAG
rnacentral:lncRNA from 1 species